UACGUAGGGGGCGAGCGUUGUCCGGAUUUAUUGGGCGUAAAGAGCUCGUAGGCGGCUUGGCAAGUCGGGUGUGAAAACUCCAGGCUCAACCUGGAGACGCCACUCGAGACUGCUAUGGCUAGAGUCCGGUAGGGGACCACGGAAUUCCUGGUGUAGCGGUGAAAUGCGCAGAUAUCAGGAGGAACACCGGUGGCGAAGGCGGUGGUCUGGGCCGGCACUGACGCUGAGACGCGAAAGCGUGGGGAGCGAACAGG
rnacentral:rRNA from 1 species